UCUCUCUCUCUCUCUCUCUCUCGCGAUGUGCCGCCGAAGCGAGGGAGCUCCAAGCUCUUCGCCGUCCCUUCUUCCCCUCUCUCCUCAUCUGCCAGAGCAUCGUCGGCCGGGACGGCACCUUCCACACCGAUGAGGCCGUCGAGUACGGUGCCGAGAUGAUCAUGGCGUUUUUAUGGUGGCCUUUGGGAUUAUGGCUGAAACCCCUGAAGCGAACCACGAUCUUUGAAGGAGGAAGGAAACCCCCCCUCUUGUGUGUAUGUGUUUCUCCGACCGCUGCUCAAACCACUGUAGCAUUGUUUCUUUUACUACUGCUAUUAAACAUUGCAAUCUAAGCCUUUUCCUGAUCUAAAAAAAAUUAAAAGAAAUGAAAUGUUGAGGUCCUAUUUCUUCUAAAGAUUUCCUUAUUUAAA